CAGCAAUUAUGACAACUUCCUCAAGCUGUUGAUGCGUAAAGAGAGAAGGAUUUGGUGGGUGAUAUAAUAAGGAGUGAAGUUGGUGGCUGUAAAGGGAGGAAAGCAUGGCUUUUGGUGGUUGAAGAGGUGGGGAGCAAAGGAUGGUGGCAGCACACUUAUUUCUUUCCACUAACUUUAAUGAUUUUCCUUUAUUGCUUUAUUGAUUUUCCUUUAUUGAUUCCUUGUCGGCUGAUGGUAUUAAACAAGGAAUGGUGUUGCAUUUGAUGUGUAGUAAUGUGGGAUAUGGCUGAAGUAAAGCUCUU
rnacentral:lncRNA from 1 species